rnacentral:rRNA from 1 species
UUUCGGACAACGGAAGGGAAUGCUUAGUGGCGGACUGGUGAGUAACGCGUGAGGAACCUGCCUUCCAGAGGGGGACAACAGUUGGAAACGACUGCUAAUACCGCAUGAUACGUUGGAGCCGCAUGACUCCGACGUCAAAGAUUUAUCGCUGGAAGAUGGCCUCGCGUCUGAUUAGCUAGUUGGUGAGGUAACGGCCCACCAAGGCGACGAUCAGUAGCCGGACUGAGAGGUUGGCCGGCCACAUUGGGACUGAGAUACGGCCCAGACUCCUACGGGAGGCAGCAGUGGGGAAUAUUGGGCAAUGGACGCAAGUCUGACCCAGCAACGCCGCGUGAAGGAAGAAGGCUUUCGGGUUGUAAACUUCUUUUAAGGGGGAAGAGCAGAAGACGGUACCCCUUGAAUAAGCCACGGCUAACUACGUGCCAGCAGCCGCGGUAAUACGUAGGUGGCAAGCGUUGUCCGGAUUUACUGGGUGUAAAGGGCGUGCAGCCGGAGAGACAAGUCAGAUGUGAAAUCCACGGGCUCAACCCGUGAACUGCAUUUGAAACUGUUUCCCUUGAGUGUCGGAGAGGUUAUCGGAAUUCCUUGUGUAGCGGUGAAAUGCGUAGAUAUAAGGAAGAACACCAGUGGCGAAGGCGGAUUACUGGACGAUAACUGACGGUGAGGCGCGAAAGCGUGGGGAGCAA